rnacentral:rRNA from 1 species
GACGAACCGUGCGAACGUUGUUCGGAAUCACUGGGCUUAAAGGGCGCGUAGGCGGCUCGCCAAGUCCGGGGUGAAAGCCUCCAGCUCAACUGGAGAAGUGCCUUGGAAACUGGCGAGCUCGAGCGAGGUAGGGGUCGUGGGAACUUCCGGUGGAGCGGUGAAAUGCGUUGAUAUCGGAAGGAAACGGCCGGUGGCGAAAGCGGCAUCCUGGACCGGCAUUGACGCUGAGGCG